CCUACGGGGGGCUGCAGUGGGGAAUAUUGGACAAUGGGCGAAAGCCUGAUCCAGCCAUGCCGCGUGUGUGAAGAAGGCCUUCGGGUUGUAAAGCACUUUCAGUGGGGAAGAAAGCCUUGGGGCUAAUACCCUCGAGGAAGGACAUCACCCACAGAAGAAGCACCGGCUAACUCCGUGCCAGCAGCCGCGGUAAUACGGAGGGUGCGAGCGUUAAUCGGAAUUACUGGGCGUAAAGCGCGCGUAGGCGGUCUGAUAAGCCGGUUGUGAAAGCCCCGGGCUCAACCUGGGAACGGCAUCCGGAGCUGUGAGGGUAGAGUGCAGGAGAGGAAGGUAGAAGUCCAGGUGUAGCGGUGAAAUGCGUAGAGAGCGGGAGGAAUGCGAGUGGCGAAGGCGGCCUUCUGGAUUGACACUGACGCUGGGGUGCGAAAGCGUGGGUAGCAAACAGGAUUAGAUACCCUAGUAGUC
rnacentral:rRNA from 1 species